UUUACAUUAGAUUUUAUAACAAAUACCUAUUACCUAAAUUGAUAGUCCACUAUUUGGCAAACGUCUUUAAGUUAGCUGUAUACGAGUACCAGUUAGAAUUUUUAAAGAACGGUAAACAAGAAAAAAAGUAUAAUUUGUAAAGUAAGAACUUACUUCAAUCAAAAUAAUAAUUAAAAAAAAAUUUAUAAUUUGUUUACCGUAACCUAGGUACCUUUAAUAUUAUGAAAAAAUCAAAAAAAUCAGAAGUAAAUUCUAGCUAGUGUGGUGCUGAGAAAGUACUUACCAUAUACCAUUUUACUUUUUAAAUUGUUAAUAUUCAAUGUAAUGUUAUAUGUUCAGAUGUUCAUAGUUCAUUGUUCAUAAUUUAGUACUUACAUACCUACAAAUAAUUCUAUUAUGUCUAAUAAAAAGUUUAUAAAUGGUACUAUCGAAAAAUUAAAACACUCAAAAAAAUUAAUAAUUCCACUGCGUUCAUGGAAAAAAAAAGCAAUGGAAUUGGAUUUUAAUUAAAGAUUGGAGAUUAUAUCAUAUUUACGGUCAUACAUAGUAUUUCAAAUUUACACUUGGACAUAAAACGACACGUAAAAUAUAUUUGAUUAUUAUAUUAAUAGUUGUUAUUUUUACAACAGAAAACUAAUAGCGAUUGAUUCAUUUCGUUAUUUAUUAAUAUUCAAAUCAAAAUGUUUAUGAAUCAAAUAUCAGCUUGCGAUUCGGAACAAAUUUCGGCAUAUUGGUUUUUCGAUAUCAAUUUAAAUUUCGUUACAACUACACUAACUUUCAUGAAAAUGAAAAUGGGGACCUGUAACGAUGAUGCCAGAGGAUCACUGUUAUCCGAGUUUGAUGCCGCACUGGAGCGCCAGACAUAUGUGAUCUUAAUACAACGCUGAACAACCACCGUUUAGUGCUUGCUCGAUCAUCGACUUGAUGUUCGGUUGUUAAAGCCGGGAGGAUCAUCCACUGGUUACCAACACUAGGCGAUCUUAACGGAAUUGAACGCUGCAAGCGAUUACAAAUAUAUAGAUAUAAUAAAUAUAAAUAAAUAUAAAUAUAUAUAAUAUAUAUAUAACUCAGCUAUAAA